UACGAAGGGGGCUAGCGUUGCUCGGAAUCACUGGGCGUAAAGGGUGCGUAGGCGGGUCUUUAAGUCAGGGGUGAAAUCCUGGAGCUCAACUCCAGAACUGCCUUUGAUACUGAAGAUCUUGAGUUCGGGAGAGGUGAGUGGAACUGCGAGUGUAGAGGUGAAAUCGUAGAUAUUCGCAAGAACACCAGUGGCGAAGGCGGCUCACUGGACAAGCACUGACACUCAACUACGAA
rnacentral:rRNA from 1 species